AACAUACUCCCUCCGUCCCAAAAUUCUUGUCUUAGAUUUCUCUAGAUCUGAAUGUAUUUAGUCAUGUUUUAGUACUUUGAUACGUUCAUUUCUAGAUAAACCUAUGAUAAAAAAAUUUAGGACGGAGGAAUACAUU
rnacentral:pre_miRNA from 2 species